rnacentral:rRNA from 1 species
CAUUGGCUCAANCAAUGUAUGCUUUGGAAACUGUUAGACUUGAGUGCAGAAGGGGAGAGUGGAAUUCCAUGUGUAGCGGUGAAAUGCGUAGAUAUAUGGAGGAACACCGGUGGCGAAAGCGGCUCUCUGGUCUGUCACUGACGCUGAGGCUCGAAAGCGUGGGUAGCGAACAGGAUUAGAUACCCUGGUAGUNCACGCCGUAAACGCUGAGUGCUAGGUGUUAGNUCCUUUCCGGGACUUAGUGCCGGCGCUAACGCAUUAAGCACUCCGCCUGGGGAGUACGACCGCAAGGUUGAAACUCAAAGGAAUUGACGGGGGCCCGCACAAGCGGUGGAGCAUGUGGUUUAAUUCGAAGCAACGCGAAGAACCUUACCAGGUCUUGACAUCCCGAUGCCCGCUCUAGAGAUAGAGUUUUACUUUUUGUACAUCGGAGACAGGUGGUGCAUGGUUGUCGUCAGCUCGUGUCGUGGGAUGUUGGGUUAAGUCCCGCAACGAGCGCAACCCUUAUUGUUAGUUGCCAUCAUUAAGUUGGGCACUCUAGCGAGACUGCCGGUAAUAAACCGGAGGAAGGUGGGGAUGACGUCAAAUCAUCAUGCCCCUUAUGACCUGGGCUACACACGUGCUACAAUGGUUGGUACAACGAGUCGCAAGCCGGUGACGGCAAGCUAAUCUCUGAAAGCCAAUCUCAGUUCGGAUUGUAGGCUGCAACU